UACAGAGGUCUCAAGCGUUUGUUCGGAUUCAUUGGGCGUAAAGGGUGCGUAGGCGGCGCGGUAAGUCGGGUGUGAAAUCUCGGAGCUUAACUCCGAAACUGCAUUCGAUACUGCCGUGCUUGAGGACUGGAGAGGAGACUGGAAUUUACGGUGUAGCGGUGAAAUGCGUAGAGAUCAGGAGGAACACCUGCGGCGAAGGCGGGUUGCUGGGCCGACACUGACGGCUGAUGCGGCGAAAGCCCAGGGGAGCGAACGGG
rnacentral:rRNA from 1 species